rnacentral:rRNA from 1 species
AUUGAACGCUGGCGGCAUGCUUUACACAUGCAAGUCGAACGGUAACAGGUUAAGCUGACGAGUGGCGAACGGGUGAGUAAUGCAUCGGAACGUGCCCGAUCGUGGGGGAUAACGCAGCGAAAGCUGCGCUAAUACCGCAUACGAUCUGAGGAUGAAAGCGGGGGAUCGUAAGGCCUCGCGCGAUCGGAGCGGCCGAUGUCAGAAUUAGGUAGUUGGUGGGGUAAAGGCCCACCAAGCCGAGGAACUGUAGCUGGUCUGAGGGGACGACCAGCCACACUGGGGAUGAGACACGGCCCAGAAUCCUACGGGAGGCAGCAGUGGGGAAUUUUGGACAAUGGGCGAAAGCCUGAUCCAGCAAUGCCGCGUGCAGGAAGAAGGCCUUCGGGUUGUAAACUGCUUUUGUACGGAGCGAAAAGGUCCUUUCUAAUACAAGGGGCUCAUGACGGUACCGUAAGAAUAAGCACCGGCUAACUACGUGCCAGCCGCCGCCGUAAAAC